rnacentral:rRNA from 1 species
UACAGGGGGGGCAAGCGUUGUUCGGAAUUACUGGGCGUAAAGGGCUCGUAGGCGGCCAACUAAGUCACACGUGAAAUCCCCAGGCUUAACCUGGGAACUGCGUGUGAUUCUGGAUGGCUUGAAUCCGGGAGAGGGAUGCGGAAUUCCAGGUGUAGCGGUGAAAUGCGUAGAUAUCUGGAGGAACACCGGUGGCGAAGGCGGCAUCCUGGACCGGUAUUGACGCUGAUGAGCGAAAGCCAGGGGAGCAAACGGG